AAUGAGAAACAAUAUUCAGGUCAGGUCAAAGCCUAGAGAAAAAUGCGCAUUCAGAAGUGGGCUGCCAUCCUGCUUUUUCUGAAGUGAACAGCUGCUGGGUAUUGAAACCAGCCCUCACGGUUGGGUCCCUGCCACCAUGGCAACACUCUGGUUUCUGAGCUGGAGUGGCCAAGGCACAAUGGGGUGGUUCCAUGGCCCAGAAGCACUCUAGCUACAGAUUAGAAUGAUGACAAGAGUAAUACCUUCCUAGUGAAGAUGACUUUUAUUUCAGGACUAUAUUAAGUUUCCCAACUUCUGUCAUGAUAUAGUCCAAAGAGAACCUGGACCACGCAGACAUCAAACAGAACAUGACACUGACCCAUUCUAUCAGUGACGUUGUGCUGAUUGCACAGGACAGAUGAGAGGCUCGUAUACUAGAAGUCUUGUCAUAUGAUACUUCAAAAUCUGUGAUUCCAUGAAGCCAAGAGUAGCUCUUCAACAGGAAAUGAAUGAGUGCUUCAGCUUCUGAUCCCAUUAGUAAGAAAAUACAGUCUUAUGAGCAAUGAUGGAGCUGCAUCUCUUAGGGGCAUUUGAUUCCCAAGAGACCAAAGAGCAAAGAGAAUGUCAAUUUAAAAAAAUCAAAUGUUUCCAUGACUUAGCUAUUUAACUGCUUUAAAAUGAAUGAAUGCUGCUUCAAGUUCUUUCAAAUACCCCACAUCUUGGCAACAACGAAAGGAAUUAACAUGAAGAAAAUUUACAAUCUUUCAUCACAUCGAACAAUGUCCCACAUUUGAAAAGUUCACAGCACAGAUUUCUGGUUACUGAAAGAAAGGAAAGACCUUCUUUGGAUUUGAAUAAACAGAUGGACUUUCUUCUCCUUUUUCUUAUAGUGCCCGAUUUGUGUAAAGGGAGGUGGGAAGAAAACAUCUUAGCUUAAAAGAGUGUCCUAUAAAAUAAAAGGUUUCAUACUU
rnacentral:lncRNA from 1 species